GGUUAAGCGACUAAGCGUACACGGUGGAUGCCCUGGCAGUCAGAGGCGAUGAAGGACGUGCUAAUCUGCGAUAAGCGUCGGUAAGGUGAUAUGAACCGUUAUAACCGGCGAUUUCCGAAUGGGGAAACCCAGUGUGAUUCGUCACACUAUCAUUAACUGAAUCCAUAGGUUAAUGAGGCGAACCGGGGGAACUGAAACAUCUAAGUACCCCGAGGAAAAGAAAUCAACCGAGAUUCCCCCAGUAGCGGCGAGCGAACGGGGAGCAGCCCAGAGCCUGAAUCAGUGUGUGUGUUAGUGGAAGCGUCUGGAAAGGCGCGCGAUACAGGGUGACAGCCCCGUACACAAAAAUGCACAUGCUGUGAGCUCGAUGAGUAGGGCGGGACACGUGGUAUCCUGUCUGAAUAUGGGGGGACCAUCCUCCAAGGCUAAAUACUCCUGACUGACCGAUAGUGAACCAGUACCGUGAGGGAAAGGCGAAAAGAACCCCGGCGAGGGGAGUGAAAAAGAACCUGAAACCGUGUACGUACAAGCAGUGGGAGCCUCUUUAUGGGGUGACUGCGUACCUUUUGUAUAAUGGGUCAGCGACUUAUAUUCUGUAGCAAGGUUAACCGAAUAGGGGAGCCGAAGGGAAACCGAGUCUUAACUGGGCGUUAAGUUGCAGG
rnacentral:rRNA from 1 species